AGAAAAAAAGUACUCUUGGGAUUGAUGAGAGGUCGCCCUUCCAUAAUGUGUUUGCCAAAGCUGAAUUAGGCGCUACUUUUUUUAAAAAAAAUAUUGCUUUUUUAUUGAUUUUGAAAAAUAUAGCGUUAUUUUUAAAUUUUUGAAAAUUGUAAUGUCCUUGGCCUGAUCAAAGCCGACUGACUUCAGUCGGCCAUGCCACAUCCGAUAAGGUCCUGUCGGCUUCUGCGUGGCCGAUUAGCCCGCAGUCGGCCAUGUGGUGGCCGAUUAUUGGCCUAGCCACGUGGCCCGCACCCUCUCGGCCUGGAGGGGGGCCAGUUGGUCUUGGCGUGGCUGAUAGGCCUUUCGGCCCUGGCGAGGCCGAUAGGUGGCCGAGCCUAGCCAGCCAGCCGGCCCGCUCCCCCUCCCCUUCUUCCUCCUCCUUAUCUCCUUCUCCUUAUAUCCUUCUCCUCUUUCCUUCUCUCCCACCCAAAAACUCUCUCAUCUCUACACUAAAUUUAGUCGGUUUUUUCCACAUUUUGCAUCGUAGUUCUAUUGUAUAGGGUUAGGGAAGCCAAACCAUCCGUCUCACUAGCGAUGGGAUAGUUCGUGGUGGUUGUGUUGAACAUUUUUUUGGUGGUGGUGGUGGAGGUGGUGGUGGUGGUGGUGGUGGUGGUGGUGGUGGAGGAGGAGGUGUGGGUGAAGGUGGUUGUUGUGGUGCAGUUGGAGGUGGUGGUGGUUGUUGCAUUCAUCAUUUUUCUCGGUGUUCGUCGAUCGUUGUUCGUCGUUUCUUCACACGCUUCAAAGGUAAAAUUCAACAUUUGUUCCAGUAGCGUUGUGUAAAUUUUUUAGGUAUGCUCCGGUACAUUUUGAUAUAUUUAGGUUUGUCAAUUAAGUAGUUUAAAUAUUUUUAGGUGCCCCGACAGAUUUGGAUAUGUUUAGGUCAGUCAAUUAAGUAGUUUAAAUAUUUUUAGGUGCUCCGGUAGAUUUGGAUAUAUUUAGGUCAGUCAAUUAAGUAGUUUAAUUUUAUUUUUAGGUUCUCCGGUAGAUUUGGAUAUAUUUAGGUCAGGGUUUUGAUGUGGGCAACAUGUUUGAUGUUGAAAACAUCAACAUGCCUACUUUCGGUCUGUGUUGGACGCACCACAAGGUAUGUCUCGUUGUAUAAUGUUAUUCACCUUCUUUGUGUACAGUAUGGAUGAAACUCACUUAUGUCUUGCGUAGAGACGCUAUGCUAGUGAACAGACUAGGCGAGCCUACACUGCACUAAAUGAGCAGUUCGAUAUGUACAUUGGAGUUAUUCGGCAACCGUACACGCAAGUAGCCAGAACUGCGAGAUAUCCUGGUGUUAUUUCUGAGCUAUGCACGAGAGAUCGGGAUUACUGGACGACAAAAUCGAAGUUUAUCUUCGAUGUCUUCGUUGAGGAGAUGGUGCAACAGCGGGUUAUGAGACAGUUCGGUCUUCGGCAGCUGGCGAAUCCACCCCCUACAGGGAACCAACUGCAAGGAGUAGUGCACAGGUAUUAUAUACUCUAUGGUUAAAGAACACCAUCAAUUACAGGAUGACAAGGAAGGGAACCAACAAGACACAGACUCAAUGGCUACACAGGCUUCAACAGUAUGUUACAAAAUGGGAUCCUGCCACUGAACGUCUCUGGCAUGAACAAGUCACAUUUGAUUUCGCUGGAUACAAUGCCUAUUUGGAUCGGUACAUGAGAGGAACACGAUUACGCAUUGUUCAACACUCCAAUACAGAUGAGAUACCGGACCCCCUUACGUCUGAUACGUACCCAACCUAUGAUACUUCUGGCUCCAGGCAGUAUGUGGUAAUAUUUAUUAUCUUUACCUAAUACAACUUGUUGUUACAUACUUCGUCUUCCGUACUUAUUAAUCCUCAUGACAAUUUCAGGGUGAGUUGGCAUACAGUCUUCAUACCGAGGUGAUGAACUAUGGCCGACAAUUGUCCACUGGACCUCUUCUAGUACCGAGGUCUCAGCUUCAGCCAUGGUUCACGCGCUUGGAGCAGAAGAUAUGAGAUGUCUAUAGAGCUAUCACGCGCACCCGCACUCCGGGCGUUGUUCAGCAGCAGCAGCAGCCGCGUCCCUCCGUGCAUCGACAACAGCCGCGUCCACGUCUAGAAUAGAAACCGACGCCCCAUCCACCCCCUCCGGACCAGGCUCGCAGUUCGGCAUGGCAUCACCCACGGCACCAUGCUCCCUCAUCGAGCUUCGUGUUUCAGCCAACUCCACAACAUCACAGUCCCACUACGGGUUUCACGUUUCAACCACAUCCAACUGGUAUGGUCCCUCCUGCAGGAUCCUAUGCAUAUCAGGAGGCAUCGGCGUUCGGAUAUGGGUGCGCGAGUGAACAAGAAGAGCCACCAUCGGAGCAAAACAUGUGGUUGGACAUGUUUUCGACUCCUCCACCAUGGCCCACACAGGAUACACAGAAUGACCAGCGCGGGUCCGAGAUUCCUCUUUGUAACAUUAUCCCCCCAGGUUUGGAUGGAGUACGCCUCUCACACCUCCAGAUCACCAAGGCAGACGUCGUUAGUGACGCAGAGCACUUGCCCUUCUAUCUAUCAUUACAUACAUGACUAUCUAACUAUGUAUGAGACAUAUGUCUAUUUUAUGUAUGAGACAGAUUCAUAUCUAUUUCUAUGCUCAGUUGGUUCAGCACGGAUAACACAUAUACUACCGACAACUUGAGAUUACAAACAGAUACUACAUAAUACAUGUGAAUUAAAAGGCACGACUAAACUACAUGAAGGCAUCAUCAUCAUCCUCCAUCGAUGCGGAGCUCUUGCUUUUCGAUAACGCAAAGUUCUUGUCCUUCGUCGACGCGGAGCUCUUGCCCUUCAUCGACGAGGAGCUCUUGUCCUUCGUCGAUGCGGAGCUCUUGCCCUUCCAUGAUGAGGUACUCUUGCCCUUGGUAUUCGGCAUGAAGAUAUCGUCUUUGUUCUCGCUAUCGUCCAUCCAUAAAAAUGGAUGCUUUACUCCAUCGUGAAUGUGUUGGCCUUUCUUCUUCCAUCUUUCAUUCAACCUGAUAAGUUCUUGUCGUAUCUCCUCAAAUGUCCUUGGAGGACACCCCUUCCUAGCUAAUGCAUGGGCAACCUCAUUCAGUAGCGUAUCACUACUGAUGAGUUCGUCCCAUGAAACUAUUCUAUUGUCUAUCUUAAAAUUGCUAGCUAAGCGCAGAAGAGAUUGGUACAUACCAGAGUGAAAACUACAGUAUAAGGGAUAAUGGUACAUCUUGACGAAAGUUAGCUACUGGACUACACUGCUAUCCCACCUUAGUGUGGAGGGGAGUUUUAUAGGUGCCUGAGAGCGAGGCGGGGAAGAAAUGGUGGGAAAGCUAGGCGGGAGAAAAUGGCGGGAAAGAAAUGACAGGAAAACAAUGGUGGGAAAGAAAUGGCGGAAAAUAUAGGACGGGAAAGAAAUGUCGGGAAAUAUAUGGCGGGAAAUAAAUGGCAGGAAAUAUAUGGACGAAAAACUUAACAUGUUCAAAGUAAGAUACACCUUGCCGAAAUUAAGAUACAACUUGCUGAAAUUAUGAUACAACUUGCUGAAAGUAUUCAACAAUUUUAGGAUACAAUAAAAUAAAUCUACUGAGUCCAACGUGGAUAUUUUCCUUUUCCAUCACCAGCUUCUUCAGCUGCCUUGGCCGCACGAGCCAUUUCUUUCUUUCUCUCCCUCUGAGCCUCACAGGCCUCCUAUUGCUGUCUAUAAACCUCCACAAGUCGAAGUUUAUAUUCUUCGUUUUUCUUCUUCAUCUCAUCAAGAAAAUCCCUCUGCUUCACACAUUACUCUUGCCACUCUCUCCGCUCCUCUGCUUUCUCCUUCUCGCGGCGCUCUUCCACGUCCAAACUAGCCCAUGCACGACGACCUCUUUCACGAAUCUCGGUCAUCGUUCAUUCCGGCAUUUCCGUGUCGAUCCAACGAUAGUACAUGCACAGAGGAGGAUACUACAACAAAAAUAGAAAUAUAAAUAUCAAGUUAACAAUAAUAUCUACAACGUGUUUAUUCUUGAUGACUAAAGCAUACCGGAGGACUGAUGUAUGGUGAAGGAGCAACAGGUGGAUCUUCCUCAUAAUUCACGCACAUGAAAAACUUCAUGCCCACUGAAAAAUUUGUCACCUCCUGCACCUUUCAUACAUCACCGCACCAACAACGAACUACUUCCACCCCCUAGGCAAACUCACACUCUUCAUUUUCCUAGGCUCCAAGCAAGGCGAACUCAUAAUGACUAGAGCAUUUAUGUUUUCAAGUGUGGCUGCGUGAUGGAGGAAGACAGUCCAAUACCUCCUUUUAUAGACUCAGAUGACAAGGGCGAUGGCGGAAAAUAAAUGGCGGGAAAGGAGGCAGGAAAAAAAUGGCGGGAAAAAAAUGGUGGGAAAGGAGGCAUGGGAAAAUUGGCGGGAAAUGGGGCGGGAAAUGAAAUGACGCGAAAGUCUGACGAGAAAAAUUAUGGAGGGGCAAUUUUCAUAACGUGGACAUAAAAAAUUGUGCAUGCACCUAUUGGCUUUAUCAACGCCAAUUAGUACUAAUUGGUCACGACUAAGCCAAUUAGUACUAAUUGGUCACGGCUAGGCCGAUUAGUCCUUAUUCGCCUAACCAAGGUCGAUAGGUGGCCAUUUGCUAAGCCGACAGGCUUGUCGGCCUAGCCAAGACCGAUAGGGACUAAUUGGUCUUAGCUAGACCAACAGGAUCACAUUUUUGAAAAAAAUCAAAUCAUGUAAUACUUUUCAAAAUCAAUUAAAAAAGCAAUAUUUAAAAAAUAGCCAAUUAGGAUCAGCCAACCAUCACAAGUGUUUUUUUCUAAAAAACAAUUAUGAUGGUACCGGAUUGACAAUACUCUGCUAUUGCGCUGGGGUAGAGUUUGCGACCACAAGGAAAACAAAUCUAAGCACUUUUUUUUGAACGAUCAGCUCGCGAUUUUACUCGUAGCAGAAAACAAUGGGAGAACACAGUGGGGCGAAGAUCCGAGGAUCGGCGGACGUUGGACCACAAGUCCGUCGAUCUUUUGAAAAAUAAAAUAGAAAAAAAAAAGAAACCAAAAAAGGCUCCUAAUUAAGAAUCUUUCAUGGUGGGUCUCCGAAGGGGCUCUCAAUGCAUCUAGCUCCCGCUAACCUCCAUUGCUUCAUUGUAAUUGUGAUCCCUGAGAUAAUAUCUCUCAUGCCUGGUAUCUUAUUCUGAAAGUUGCAUUUGUUAUGCUCCUGCUAAAUAGCCCAACAGGUGAGAAGUCUCGUCGUGUUGGUUCCCUUCUUCUAAGCACAAAUUUAGCACCCUUGACGAUGCGAAAAACAUGGCCCCAUGAGAUGGAAAGAAAGGAAAAACUCCAAAACAAACCUUGAAUUUGUAGGCGAAAGCUAAAUCAAACCUAAACUCUCAUUCCCUGAAAUCAGCACACCAAACUCUCUUAUCCCAAUCUAUUUUGAACCCUAGACCUGUUUGGCAUAAUGGAAAUACAAUAAUCCCGACCGGGAUAACCUACUACUUCACGAACGAGAAUUUAGGCCGGCCCAUUACACCACAACAAGAAUUAGUGAAAUUAAAAAAAUGUUCGCGCAUUUCUAAAAUUGUUUAGAAGUUAAAAAAUGUUCAUGUUUUCUAUUGUUGGCGCAAAUUCAAUUUCCUUUUGUGUUUUUUAAAAAAUGUUUGGAAUUUUGAAAUUAUAUUCACAUUUUUUUAAACUGAUUGUGAUUUAAAAAAAUCAGAUUUGUCCGUGGAUUCCGAGAAUUAUUCGCAUUUUUUAAAAACUGAUCGUGAUUUAAAGAAAAAUCAGAUUUGUCCGUGGAAUCCGACAAAUAUUCACAUGCUAUGAAAAAUGAUUCGGAUUAUAAAAAAAUGUGCCACAUUUUCUAAAUAAUGAUUUGGAAAACACCGCGUCGGCGAACUUGGAUAACAUUUUUUUUGAAGCAGACAAAUAUUGAAAAUGUAUUCAAUUUUGGAAAUGUCUGCAAAAUUUAUAAAGUGUCGUUACCUUUUUAAAAUUCCAAAAUUUUAAAAACAACUUUUGUUUAAAAACAUCAAUUUCAAAAAGCAAACACCUUUGUAAACAUUUUUUUAAAAUUGCGAACAGUUUUUGAAAAUUUAAAAAAUGGGAAAUAAUUGUGAACCUGAACAAAUGCAGAAAGUGAGGACAGUUUCAAGAAUGUUCACGAGUUUUAAAAAAUGCGCUUGUGACAUAUGCAAAAAGAAGUGUAUACAAUGCAAAAAAAAUGUGUGAUGUAAAAAAAAUGUGUCGUACCCUUAAAAGAAUAUACAUGACAUGUGUUUGGAAAAAGUGUAUACAAUUUUAUAAAUGUGUAAAAAUAUAGAACUGUUCAUGUAGUUUUAUAAAAUGUUUUUUGUCAUUAAGAAAUGGAAAACAUGUACUUGAAAAAAUAUUAUCGUUCGAAAGAAACAAUAUAACAAAAGAAAAAAUAUAUAUAACAAAGAAAUAAAAACAAUAUAAAACCAGUGAAAAACAAAGUAUAGUGGAGUAAAAAAACAAAAGAACCAAAAAAUAUAACGAAGAAAGAAAAACAAUAUAAAACCAGUGAAAAAACAAAGUAUAGAGGAGUAAAAGAAAAAAACAUACCAGCGCGAGAGACUGUGUUAAUGGGCCGUCCAAUUCAAUGAAUUUGGUUUAAAUCUUCUUAAAUUUAAAAUGGACUAGGAUCAGAGAGUUUGGUGUGCUGAUUUCACGGAUUCAGAGUUUAGGAUUUGAUUGAAAUUUCACCUACAAAUUCAAGGUUUGUUUUGAACUUCUUCCUAAAAAGAAAUGCACAAUUAAUACCGUGUGAAGUUAUGGGAGGCCUGCACGACAGACGUCGGCCGGCCGGUGCCUUUGGCGCACAGAGGAAGCCAGUGGCGGGGCAGAGAUUCCAAUGAGUCGUCGCCUCGUGGGCCGCCGGCCGCUGGAUUAGGUUUGGGAAACCCUUCCUAUCUAUAGUCUGAUAGAAGAUGAGGCUCAGACUAAUCGACAGUCGUCGAUCCUGUUUGAAUCCAACGCUCACAACAUGUUCUUCAUAUAUGUAAAAAAAUCCGUCAUCCCAGAAUGGACCUCACGCAGCUCCUGCAUUCACCUCUUGGUAAUCACUCGGCCUACAUGGCUCCUGAUUCCACUCGCCGCAAUCCGCACGACACCGAUCUCGCCUCGCCCAGAUCCCCCUCCGCCCCUGCCUCGCAGGCACCCGCAACCAUCUCCCGUCGUUGUCGUCGUGCAGCAUGGACUCCUCACCGGUCAGUCUCCUUCCCAGAACGAUUUAGUUCUCUUAUGUAUGAUUCUUAUGUGCUUGAUAAGUAGGUGGUCGUGAUGCCCAUCCCAGAACGAAGGAUGGAUAGGCAUCCGGCAAUCACAAGCUACAGGAGAAUACCUACUUUGCCUCGAGUGCCAUCUCUUCUUGAUCGGAGCACUCCCGGCCGGUUGCACGUAACGAUGCCAAGUGACAUCGGUUGACCUAGUUUUAAUUUGAUACUAUCCAGCUGUCUGUUUUUGCAGUAAAGCAGGUCUCGACUAAUGGUUCGUCGUUGUUGCAGUGAUGCUCCAUCCAUGCCAAUCCUUCUUAGUGCCGCUAACCAUGGUGAUAGAAGGAAGCAUCGAAGCACACCUACCAUGCACGGCCAGCAUGGGAAGGAAGCAUGUACGCCCGCCAUCAAAUAUAAGCACCACUACAAUUGCAUGGGUGCACAACCAACUUCGAAAUGAAUCAUGGUGACCAUCAGCCCAGUGGUGUUUGAACUAUGCCGAGAUACCACGUUUUACUUAUGGAAGCAAAUUUUGUUUUUCUGGAUGCAUAUAUAUCCUAGCUUCUUUGGAAGCAAUGGUUCAGUUUAGUUUCAAACCAAUGUAGCGUUUAAAUGGUAGGUAAUUAAGCUUGGAACAUACAUCCUUGGAAGCAAACUAAUGAUGCUUCCAUUGUACAUAGAUUAUUCUUCACCUGAUAAAGUUGCCAUGAAAUAAUAUAUGAAGCUUUCAGAGUAUACUACAAAUGCUUCCAUUGUUGUGAUAGACCUUUACAUGCUUCAUAUAUGUAUAUGGAGCUUCCAAAGUAUACUACAAAUGUGUAGAUAGUUUUCCCUGAAAAUGCUUCAACCUUUAUUAUUGAAUUUCUAGUAUAGUUGGCGGAAACAUGCAUCUGCAUGUUGGUGGCUACCUUGAUUCAUUGUCAUUCAAAAAAUAUAUGCUUCCAGUUAAGUUGGCCCAUCUUGACAUAGCACAGUGUAAUCUAUCCUAUUCCAUAAUUCCUUAUCCAGGGCAUGCUUUUAAUGCUUCCUAUUCAUUUGUUCUAAUUUCAUAAUUCCAUGCUUCCAAAUGACACUUACUCUGCUCCUUGAGCUAUCCUUUCAUUUCUCUUUUUCAUUGAGCUAUAUUUCUUUGGGCUAGAAAAAAAAAUCCAUGUCAAUUCUCUAUGGUCUAUGCUCCAUGACUUCAAUUAUGAUGAAUCAUAUGUAUAUAGCAUAGUUUCAUGGUUCCUGCAAAAUUGUACUUCUGAAUCACCCCUAGUGCUUCAGCCAAUAUCAGUUUGUGCUACAACCACGACAAUGUUGGUUCUUUUAAUAAACUAUUCUUCACACCAUUUUUUUAUUUGAAUCACUACCAAUGUAUGCUUCAUUACUUCUCACUCAUGUUUCCAUGAAAAGCAUACAAGAUGUUUUAAAGUUUUCUUAUAGAUGUUUCCAUGACAGUGAAUCCCGGCUUCAAGCAUUGCCAAUGUGUGCUUCUAUUGUUGUCUAGACAUAUUGGUUCGACCAAGUGAGCGCUUUAACCAAUACUAGUGAGUCUUUUUUCGGUGAUAUUAUCGUACAUAAGUUUGCUUCUUGAGGCAAUAAUUUUUGUUUCAACCACUACUGAGGUUGGCUUCUUGGUUUUUUCUGAUGUUUUCAUGUACUGAUAGUUUUUCUACAUGAUUCAGCGGCGCGCCUUCAUUUCCAACACAAUGCUAAUAGUGUUGAGUGUGCUGGACCAUGCAUCACUUCUAAUCGGAGGCUACCUUGUUGAGGAAGAACUCGUGACAUGUGCGGAGCUCUUCUAUGAUUGGUUAAUUGAAAACAUACAUGUACAUAUGUAAGUGAAGUUAGUGUUGUUGUAAAAACAUUUGUGUAUUACUUUUACCAGAUGAAUUUUGAGGCGGUGUAUAUUCUUGAUUUGUGUUUCCAGACGAUUCCUUUUUGGCGAAACAUAUGUUUCAAUAAAAUGUGAAUAUUUUUUUUGGUGCACUAAAUAAUGUUUCCAAAGCAACAAAAAAAUUCCUUCUGUAUCAUAGAAAUAAUGCUUCCACGGAUACAAAAUAAAAAGAUUUAUGUCGCAUGAUUGCAUAAUAAUUUUCGAUCACAACGUGAAAGGGUGCUACCAUCAAGAAAAAAUAAUGCUUCUCUGAUUGUAUGAUAUAUGUUUCCAGCGCAAUGUGAAAGGGUGCUUCCGUUGAUAAAAAGUAAUGCGUCUAUGAAUAUUUGCCAUGAAAAAAUGCAUCUACGAAAAUAAUUAUUUUUUGUAUUGUUUGUUGGAAGCACAUCACAAUCUAAAAAAUCAUAUUUCCUCGUACAAAAAUGCAUAUGCGAAAAUGCAAUUAUAUUUGUUUGUUGAAAGCAAUCACAUGUAUUUAUUAGAAAACUAAUUAGACACCAUUAGUGCAGAAAUCCCGUAAUUAAUGAAUAUCACCCUUUAAUUAAGCAAUCCAACACACUAGCGUGGGGUUUCUACUGACAAAUCUGACCCUACUUUUUAUCCUAGGAAUAUGCACUUGUCUGAUGGAAGCAAGGGAUCAGUAAUCUGAUCCUAGAGGACGAUGCUUCGAGUCAGUGAUAGACGCAAUCAGGAUGGGUGGCUAAUCAAGAGAUCUCCUUAAUUAAUCCCGUUGACAAUGCUUUGAAUCAGUCAUAGACGCAAUGGGUCGGUUUGACCUAAACCCAAUUUCGCUGCCACGAAAGCUAGCCUCCUCCCCCCGUCCGUUGGCUCUGCCACCUUUCUCUUCUCGCGACUCAUCCUCCAAUUUGCUGAUCGCACCGUAAUAUCAUUCGCUUAGAGCAACUCUAACCGUUCGAUCCAAACAAACGAUCAUUUUAUCUGUUUUUUGUUUGUUUUGAUCGGUUCAGCGGACACCAAACGUCCGUUCUAGCGUUUGGUUCGGCGCAUGCGCCUAACGCUGACCCGACCCAUUUUUAUCGACGUAUGAAAAUAAAUUAAAGCAUUUUCAAUAAACAAGCAUUAAUUAAGUAUUAAAAGUCGGUCAUGAAGGCCGAUGAGAGUCCACGCGUCUCAUUACAUUAAUUAAACAUAAAAAAUUAAACUAGGGGACAACCUUAGACGGCGGCGGCGUCGUCGUCGGACCCGGUGAGGUCAACCAGCGUAGGCGCAGGGCCGGCACAAGGGAAUGCCGUGUUCCAGAGCGCAGGUGCCUGCGCCUCCUCGUCUGUGCCGCCGGCGCGGGCUGUGCUGGUGGCGGUGGCAGCACAGCACGGGCGCGCUCCUCCUCAUUUAUCUCCCGUCGUUCCUCCUCCGCCUCCUCCUCCAGCUUCAUCUGCCGAUGGCCUUCGACGCGCUCCGUCCGCACGUGCUGCGACUUACAAUGCACGAGGUAGGCUUCCUCCUGCUCCGAUGUCGCGCCUAACCAGAUGGGCAGCGCGCUGACCCACUCGCGAAGGCAGCCGUUCCACUGGUAGACCUCCCACUGCAGCUCCAUCGACUCGGUCUGCGACGGAGGUGGUACGACGCAGUCGCCGGCGGCGAACAGCGCGAUGGCCUCCGUCAGCCGCUCCUGAUACGCCGCCUCCUCCUCGUCAGCCUCACGCUGCUCUUCCUCCUCGCACUCGCGGAGAACAGCUCCCAGCGCCGCCUGGUAGGCGGCCUCAGCCUCCUGGUCCUCCUCGCUAACGACGGGCGGGGCGGCGGAGGGCCUCCUGGCUUCACGUCGCGCACGCCAUGCCGGCGCUGCUCCUCUUGCUCGACCACGAACUAGAGCUCCUAGUGGGGAAAGUCGAUCGCGUAGGCAGGGUUGAGCCGUUGCUCCGGCGUCAGCAAACACCGACGGCGACUCACCUCAUCUGCGUGCAACCGCGCCGACCGUGGCACGGCCGACACCGGGAUCCUCUCUAGAUCCAGAUGCCAGUGGUGCGGGAGGGUGACAUCGGGGUACGACAGCGGGACACAGUGCUCCCAGUGCUACCGCGCUUGGUGCAUCGGGACGCUGACACGCUGGCGAGUCCGGCGGAGAGAUCGCGCGGGGGUAGACGGGGGCCUUGCCCUUGUUUUGGAAGGAGCCGGCCAUGGCCCGCGAUCCUAGGGUUUGGUCGCCGACGAGGUGGCGAGAUGGGGAUGGGUGGGUUCUGAAAGCAGAUGAGGCCGAACCCACCGUACGCUCGGGUUAAAAAAGAUCGACCGCAGUCGUUGACGCAUGGGCCCGUGAAGGGCGGCUGUCAUAAAUUACAUAACCGCGUGUGGUUGGGACGGACACCGAGAGGACGCGCGCGUGCGCUUCCCGUCCGUGCCGACGCAUUUCAAUCCCAAAUUUAGGACGGAAAUGGAUCGUCGCGGACGCAAAGGGAUGCGUUUUGACAAUGGAUCGGCGCGUUGCGCCAUUAGUUUUGUCCACGCGGCCGCAAACAAACGGUGGCAAAUGAAAUAGAUCACCCCGUUGGAGCUGCUCUUAGCCAAACACCACAUAUUUCUUCGGGUACAAUUACAUGUAAACAUACGUGCACAACCAACACAUGCGCAAUCAAACAUCACAAAAAAAAUCUCACUUCAUAAUUUCAUAUAUUUCAUUAUUAAAAUAAAUGUCUUAACUUCAUAUUAAUUUUAGUAUAAAGUUGUACUAAUCUUAAGACGUUUAUAGGAUGAAGGGAGUAUAACUUUGGGAAGAAUACAAAAUUCAAGUUCUUAGCAACCUUCCAGCUAGUAGAGUUUGAUGCGCCGUUAUGCAAUGUAAACGUGCCCUUCUAUCUUACAUCUACGUGCAUCAAGGGAACCUACAGAACUUGCACAUGCACGCGAUUGGAUAGCAUUUGGCCACCUGGGAGCACCUCCCUUGACAAAGAGGUUCCUCCUUGUUCUCAAUGCGGCAUGCAUCGUCACAGUUGGUGGAAUUGCAUGGAUCAUGUGUCCCAACAUAUCUUCCAAAACAAGAUUCUCCGGGUCUAGCAUCUGCAAAAAUAUCAUUUUGCGAAUACGAGUAUUAAUAGAGAAUCACACGUCCGAUCAGUUGGCGAAGCAUGUGGUACUAUAGGAACAAACGAGUACCUGAUGAUGAUGAUAGCAUGAGCAAGAUUAGAGUCAUGCACAUCAGGGCGGUCCUCAUCUUGGCUAACGGCGGCGUUGAUGAUGGGAAUUGAGGAUGUUUUGUUUGACUUGUAGCAGAAAGAAUAAUAUGGCUACCAUUUUAUAUAGAGGAAGGGAUUUCAAUGAUAAUUUACAUAUUCUCUAUUAAUUGCUGGAAACGCUAUCGUGGGUAUAAGCCUCACAGUAGAAGUGUAUGGUACGAAUGAGAUGGGCAGAGUCCUAGCUACGGCGAGUUUGUAUGAGUUCAGGCCCCUCUGCGGGGGAGGUAACAGCCCUACGUCUCAGUGCUCUCGGAGCUUGUUGUCGAGUGUGAUAUCGAAUAUAAUGAUUUGCUAACCCCUUUACCAGUGGAGGAGGGUGGCUUAUAUAGAGUGCGCUGCCCUCCACAACGGUUCUGAUUCACGGGCGGAGUAGUGACGAUUGAAUGCGUACGUUACAGGUAACGGACGAACUAAAUGCUAUUAAAUACACCUAGAAACGUACGACCGUUUUCCCCCAAAGGGGUCACGGUGUACCGAGUGGUAUCCAGUCGGUCAGCUAGAUACGCUCCGAAUGUUACUCUCCGACUGGACGUCAUCGAGGAUCUGCUACCGACUGGAUGAUGGGGAUUCCUUAAUUCAGUCGGAACUGACUAAGGCCCUUGUCCUUUGGAAGGGGUAGUCCUUGGGUAGGACCUAUAGGGCAGGCCUAUGACCCUACCCUAGGACUAUAACCCCAUCAUUAGUCCCCAAAUGGAUUGGGGUUGGAACGACGAAGUGAUGUUUGAAGUUGGAUCUGACUGGAACGGACUCGGCUUGGGCGUUGCUUGGCUCGGUCCAUUUUGACUUUUCUGAUCGACGAUCCGAGUGGAAGUACUCGCGAAACAGACUGUCGGGAACCGAGUGCUUCGGCGGCAUCUUCUGAUGCGACCGGUCAACUGACAGCGCCGGAUUUUCCGUGAUCCUCAAAUUUCGGUUUCCGCGCGCUCAGCGGGGAUGACGCCAGCGCCCUCGAGUAGCGCCUGACGCCUCGAUUCACGCGCCUUCAACCUCUCCACUAAUAUCGCCGCGGUGGGUCGGGGGGAUAAGGUUUUUGGGCCACUUGCCAGCGACCCAGUCGGAACCCUAUAUAAAUCUCGGCGGCGAGGCUUCACUGUUACGCUCGCCGAAUCCCUUGCUCUCGCCUGCCCCGCCCUUCUCGCCACCUCCAACGCUCCUACACUCCUCCCUUCUCCUUCCUCCCGAGGGCUCGCAGCCGCCGCCAUGACCAAGGGCCAGACCAGCAAGAUGGAGGCGAGGAAGAAGAAGGGGAAGACGGCGGCACCUGCUCAGCGGCGGCAGCGGCCGCUGCCGGCGGGAUGGAUCCAGGGCGACUUCCUCCCCUCCACGGUGACGGAGGGGGAUCUACUGCAGCUGGUGGAGCACGGGAUGAUCGUGCACAAGUCCUGGAGGCUGCCGGUGGAGGACGAGGUCGAGCCAGCGCCUCGGGAGGGGGAGCGCGUCCUGCUGCUCAGCCACGUCCACCGAGGUUUUUCUUUGGCCCCGCAUCCUUUCUUCAAGGGCAUCAUGAAUCACUUCGGAGCCCAACUUCACCAUUUUCCUCCGAAUGCCAUUGCCCAUCUUUCUGCCUUCAUAGUUUUAUGUGAGUGUUUCAUCGGCUGUCCUCCCCAUUGGGGUUUGUUCAAACACAUCUUCUCCGCCCGAUCCCAAACCAUCAAACGACUUAGCCAGUCGGAUGAUAAGACGCACCUCCUCCAGCUCUGCGGGGGUUUAGGAUUCCAGAAGAAGAGUCGGAGUAGCUAUCAUGCUCUCCAGUAAAUGAGUCGGUUAGGAACUGGCAGUCGACGUGGUUCUACUGCCAGGAUAUCGCCUGUCCGAAUGCGUCGACUGGGCUGCCUCCUUUUAGUCUAGAUCGGCCCGCCCCGCCUAAGCAGCUCGCGCUCUCGAAGGCGGAGAAGAACGACAUCCAGCCCUUGGUUGAGGCACUCGUGGACGUCGUCAGGAGGGGGGUCACUGGUAUAGACCUGCUGGAAGUCUUCCUUGGUCGGCAGAUCCAGCCUCUGCAGGCUCGCGACCAUGCCAUGUGGCAUUACACGGGGCCCGAAGACUCCACUCGGACCAACGUGGUGGGCGUGACUUAGGAGAGGGUGACCUCAUGGGUGCUCCAAAUCACGGGUCCCUGCGAGAACCCCAAAGGAGCUCGGCGAGUGAAGCCUUACAACGCGGAUCAUCCUCCACCGAAUCAGGUGAGUGGCACUUGUCGAGUGCAUUGAGCUGUCUUAACUCCUGUCGUUUGUCUAUAUCUCCGUGUGAUUUCUAAUGUUUCAGACUGAAAUUUAUGCAGGCGUGGACCAACUGGUUCUCCCCCGUCUCGAAUGGGAAUCCGGAGGAGGAAGAAGAGGAAGGCAGCCAGGAGGGCAGUGUGGAGAGCGCCGAGUACGUCUCCGACAACGGGGAAUCGGAGGAGGAGAAAAGCGAGGAAGAGGAAGAAGACGAGGAGCAGGACUCGCCAGCUCCGCAACUGGAGCAUCGGACCAAGCGCCGACACGAGUCCGCUGUCCCCUCAGCUCCUCCCGCGUCUUCGAGUGCUCCGCCUACUGCUCCAGUGGUCCCGAGUGUUCGAAGCGCUAAGAGGACCAGGGAUGCCGCCGCUGAGCCCGCGGGCCAAUCUUCUAAGGCGCCCAAGCCGAGUGGGCCUAAACCUCGGAAGGCUCUGCCGCGUAUGAGGGUCGCUGUCCCCGUCACCUCCACGUAAGUGUACUCAGCCUUCAAUUCUUUCUGAUAUCCGAGUGAACUUCUGUUUACUGGCCGAAUGGGUCUUACUCGACAAGGUCGCUACUUCUGCCACCUCUCCGGCGCGUCAGGAAGACGACCCCAUGGACACGGACAACGCCGUCUCGUCUCAGCCAGGUGCGUUGUAGGAACGUCGAGUGUUUUAUACUAUCGCGUCCCAGUCAGGUGCUUCUUUCUUUUUCUGAGACCUCGUGUCAUUCGGCCUGUCAGGGGCGAUCUGCCUGGAUGAGGGCGACCAGGGGAGAGCCGACCCAGCUGUGGAGCCUGUUCUUGAGGUUGCUCCUCCCGCUGCCGCUCUCGCCGCCGACGUGCUGCCGACAGAGGCGCUGCCACCGACUGAACCAGUGCUGGUGGAGGAGGAGCCGACUGGGGCGGACCUUGGGAUGCCUCAGGAACCUCCGACGAUUCCAGGUUCGUCGAAUGCUGAAUUCAGCAUCCAGCGUCUUCCGGAGGAGCAGGUGCGAGCGGCCAAGGGGGCUAUGGUGCAGGCGGAACUGAUGACUGGAGAAGCCAAGAGGGCCUAUGACUCCAUUGCGGCCUUGUACCAGCGGAGCUUGGAGCUGCGCGAUGAUAUCCGAGUAAGUGGUCUAGUAAGUAUUUACUUUUCCCCUGUAACCCACUGGGUGUUCUUGAAUAGCAGCUGUUGUUUGCAAUGGGUUCACUCCGAGUGAACCCAGUGGGUGUAGUCCCCGAGACUUCUGUCGAGUGCGUGCACCGACAGUUGUCUUUAUACAUUUUGCCUUGAGUUUGGUUGUGUCUGUAGAUAGAAUUACCGAGUGCGAGUAGUUGUUGCAGUCGGAGUGCACUUAUGGUAAGAGUCCCCGAGAGUAAGUUGUACUCAAGUCGGGUAGUAUUGGCCUCGGAGGCGUAGUUGAUAACGUGCAUCUCAAUAGGGCAGGCCUGCUUGAGGUGCAUGCCAGUGGGGUCACUCUUAGUGAACCCACUGGGUGUAGUCCCCGAGACCGUUGUCGACUGCUUGCGUCGGCAGGGGUCUGAAGAACUUAGACUGUUAACUGUUGAACUUUCUGAUUGUCUCUUGUUUCUUGGUGGCAGAAAACUUGUGAAAUGGGGACGGCCUAUGAGGCUCUGAGAGCGGAGAGGAACCAGUUCGCUGGUGAACUUGAUGCGGCUAUGCUCGCAAUGGCCGGCAUGAAGGAUGCUCUGGAGGGGCGAGAGAAGUCUUUGGAGGAGGCUCGCGAAGCUAACAAGGUGUUGACUGAGGAAGUGGAAAGAAUGAGGAAACAGAGGACUGCUCUCACGAAUCAGAUGGCCGUCCUGAAUAGACGAUGCAUAGUGCAGGAGAAGUAUGUCAACGACUGGGCUGGGCAGAUGAUGUCUCGUCUGGCUGGUAAGUCUUAUGUUUUGCCGAGUGCUUGUACUGUGUGCGUGACACUCGACGUUUAUUGUAUGCUUGUCCUUUUGUUGCAGAUUUUUGCGUAGAUGCUGAAGCUGAAGCAGCGGCUGUGGAGCGGUCCAUUCAGGACAACGUGCCACUCGGUGAGGAUGCCAAUCGGGAUCUGCUCCGGGCGCAUAUCCGCGUAGGCAAAGUGGGUCCUUUCAUCGGUCGACUGAGAGAGGUCGUUGGCCGAAUUGACAAGGAACUUUGGCCAGAAGACGAGUCGCGGCAGGAGAUGGAGACCUUGAUGGCGCGACUGGAGGAGAUUCCGAGCCGAGUGCAAUCGUGGAAGAAAUCGGCAGCGCGUUGCGGUGCAGAUGUUGCUCUGUCCUUGGUCCGAGUCCAUUGCAAGGAGGUGCUUGAGGAAAAGCUGAAGACACUGAAGGUCGCCAACACGAAGAAGCUUCGAUUCGAAGACUUCAUGGAGACGUUCCUUGAGAGUGCUACCCGCAUCACCGACGGAAUCGACUUGGACACUUUCGUGGAGCCCUCCAGUCCUGGCGCCGGCCCAGUUGACGCGUAAGAAAACUUUAUCCUCGGUAUGCCGAGUGUUUAUCUGUAAGGUACUUUGGCCACUUCUGUUGGCUGUCACACUUUUAAAUCGGUGCGGGUAAGCUUGAUCCACACCGAGUUAACUAUCUUUUCGAGAAUUUUCGAAUCCGAAUGAAAGCGUUUACUCUUGUGUUUGAAUGUUGUUUCGAGUGCGACGUUUAGUGCAUACUCGGAGAAGAUUAGUACUUAGGUGAUUCUGAAUCACAGCUAAGUCCCCGAGUGCGACGUUAGUGCACACUCGGAGGAAGUUAUUACUUAGGCGAUCCAGGAUCGCAGCUAAGUCCCCGAGUGCGACGUUUAGUGCACACUCGGGGAAGUUAUUACUUAGGCGAUCCAGGAUCGCAGCUAAGUCCCCGAGUGCGACGUUAGUGCACACUCGGAGGAAGUUAUUACUUAGGCGAUCCAGGAUCGCAGCUAAGUCCCCGAGUGCGACGUUUAGUGCACACUCGGAGGAAGUUAGUACUUAGGCGAUUCAGGAUCGCAGCUAAGUCUCCGAGUGCGACGUUUAGCGCACACUCGGAGGAAGUUAGAACUUAGGCGAUUCAGGAUCGCAACUAAGUUUUUUUGUGUGUGUGUGUGACCGGAGUCUGCGAUCGUGGAAAAACUCUGAAUCUGCAAAAAAAAUUUGAAUCUGCUGUAUAUUAUUUCAUCAAUACUUGUUCGUUACACUGCUUCAGUCGACGAUCACGUAUAGAAACGCUUGAGGAGGUCUCCGUUCCAUGCACGCGGCUCGUCUGUCUCCCUCUGAAUGUUGUAGAGUCUGUAUGCUCCGUUGUUCAGCACCUUGGAGAUGAUGAAAGGCCCUUCCCAGGCCGGAGCCAACUUGUGGGGUCUUUGCUGAUCCACUCGGAGCACUAAGUCGCCUGCUUGGAAUGUGCGACUCCUGACGUGACGCGCAUGAAAGCGUCGCAGAUCUUGCUGGUAAAUUGUUGAGCGAGUUAGUGCCAUCUCGCUUUCCUCCUCUAGAAGAUCUACUCCAUCUUGCCUUGCUUGUUCUGCUUCAGCUUCGGAGAAGAGUUCGACUCGUGGGGCAUUAUGAAGCAGGUCACUCGGAAGGACCGCUUCUGCUCCAUAAACGAGGAAGAACGGUGAUCGCUCCGUUGAUCUGUUCGGAGUGGUGCGGAGGCCCCAAAGUACUGAGGGUAACUCGGUGACCCAUGCGCCAGCAGCGUGUCCCACCUCUCGCAGGAGUCGAGGCUUCAAACCUUGAAGAAUAAGCCCAUUCGCCCGCUCAGCUUGUCCGUUGGAUUGAGGAUGUGCUACGGAAGCAAAAUCCACUCGGAUACCCUAACUCGCACAGAAACCUUUGAAUCUGUCCGAGUCGAAGUUUGUCCCGUUGUCCGUGAUUAUGCUGUGAGGAACCCCGAAUCUUGAAAUGAUGUCCCUGACAAACUUGACAGCUGUUGAGGCGUCGAGUUUCUUGAUGGGCUUGGCUUCUAUCCAUUUUGUGAACUUGUCGACUGCCACCAACAGAUGUGUGUAGCCUCCUUGGCCUGUCAUGAAUGGUCCGACUGUAUCUAAACCCCAAACUGCAAACGGCCACACAAGAGGGAUUGUCUUCAAUGCAGAUGUUGGCUUGUGGGACUUGUUGGAGUAGAACUGACAGCCUUCACAUCGGUCGACCAUAUCUUUAGCCAUCUCAUUUGCCUGCAGCCAAAAGAAACCGGCUCUGAACGCCUUGGCGACGAUUGCUCUCGAAGAAGCGUGAUGACCGUAGGUUCCCGAGUGAAUAUCCUCUAGGAUCAACUGUCCUUCCUCUGGGGAAAUGCAACGUUGAAGAACGCCUGAAACACUCUCCUUGUACAAUUGGCCAUCAAUGACAGUGAAUGCCUUCGACUUGCGGACUAUUUGCCGGGCUUGGACUUCGUCUUCUGGAAGUUCUUGCCUGAGGAUAUAUGCAAUGAUCGACACAGUCCAAUCGGGAAUGACAGCCAGAAUAUCCAUGACCAAAUCAACCACAUCAGGUACAUCGACUUCAGUCGGAUCUGUUGUGCUCUUGGGCUGUACGGAUUCCUCAAUGAAGGGAUCUUCUUUGACUGAGGGAAGGUGGAGGUGCUCGAGGCAGACAUCACUCGGGACUGGUCUCCGAGUGGAUCCGAGUUUUGCCAACUCAUCAGCCGCUUGGUUCUUCAGUCUCGGAACAUGGUGGAGCUCUAGACCUUCAAACUUCUUCUCCAGCUUCCUCACUGCAUUGCAGUAUGUGGUCAUGGUGGGGUUCCUGACGUCCCACUCUUUCAUCACUUGAUUGACCACCAAAUCCGAAUCGCCGUAGACCAUCAAGCGACGGACGCCGAGUGAGAUGGCCAUGCGCAAUCCGUAGAGGAGAGCUUCAUACUCUGCCUCGUUGUUGGAGGAAUCAAAGUGUAUCUGCAGCAGGUACUUGAGCUUGUCGCCCUUUGGUGAUAUGAUCACAACGCCAGCGCCGGAGUCAUUCAACAUCUUAGACCCAUCGAAGAACAUUGUCCAAUGAGCCGAAUAGAUGUGGGUCGGUUGCUGUUGUUCUACCCAUUCUGCUAUAAAGUCAGCCAGGGCUUGAGACUUAAUAGCUUUCUUGGCCUCGAACUUGAUGUCACAGUACAACAUCUCCAUUGCCCACUUCGCCACUCGGCCUGAUGCGUCACGAUUGUGGAGAAUUUCCGACAACGGAGCAUCAGAAACCACAGAUACCGAGUGGUCUUGGAAAUAAUGAGCCACCUUCUUCGCAGUCAUAUAGAUCCCAUAGAUAAGUUUUUGAUAAUGGGGAUACCUCUGCUUGGAAGGAGUCAGGACUUCGGAGACGUAGUACACUGGCCGCUGAACUUUAUAUGCUUUGCCUUCUUCCUCUCGUUCGACUGUAAGAACAGUACUGACGACUUGAUUUGUAGCCGCGAUAUAUAGAAGAAGGGGCUCUUUACUGAGCGGAGCAGUAAGAACCGGCUGGGUAGAAAGUAGGACUUUGAGGUCGUCGAAUGCGACUUGAGCUUCGUCUGUCCACUCGAAGGUAUCUGAUUUCUUCAUGAGUCGGUACAGAGGAAGUGCUUUUUCGCCGAGUCGACUGAUGAACCUGCUCAAAGCCGCUAGGCAACCUGUGAGUCAUUGAACAUCGUGUAUUCUGACUGGCCUCUCCAUUCGGACGAUGGUCCCGAUCUUUUCGGGGUUGACAUCGAUCCCCCGUUCGGAAACGAAGAAACCGAGUAACUUUCCGCUGGGAACACCGAAUGAACAUUUGGCUGGGUUGAGCUUGAUAUCGUACCUACGAAGGUUGGAGAAUGUUUCUGCCAAGUCAGUCAGCAGGUCGGAACCUUUGCGUGACUUGACUACGAUAUCAUCCAUAUAUGCUUCCACAUUGCGACCGAUCUGGUCGAGGAGACAAUUUUGGAUCAUGCGCAUAAAGGUAGCUCCUGCAUUCUUCAGACCGAAAGGCAUAGUGAUAUAGCAGAAGCACCCGAAUGGGGUGAUGAAGGCUGUUUUUAACUCAUCGGGACCAUACAGACGGAUCUGAUGAUAGCCCGAGUAGGCAUCAAGAAAUGAUAAACGCUCGCAUCCCGCUGUCGAAUUGACAAUUUCAUCUAUGCGGGGGAGCGGAAAAUGGUCUUUCGGGCAGACCUUAUUGAGAUGCUUGAAGUCGAUGCACAUUCGGAGAGACUUGUCCUUCUUGGGUACCAUGACAACAUUGGCGAGCCACUCGGAGUGGUGAACCUCGCAAAUGAAGUUGGCGGUCAGCAGCUUGGCCCCUCUUCCCCGAUUGCUUUCCUCUUGUGCGCGGCAGAUCGGCGCAGGCGCUCUCGGACGGGCCGAUCGGUGGGAUCCACGUGCAGUCGGUGCUCAGCCAACUCCCUGGGUACACCUGGCAUGUCAGAGGGUUUCCAUGCGAAGAUGUCCCAGUUCUCACGGAGGAAUUGGGUGAGCUCGGAUUCCUAUUUAGGAUCGAGGGUGGUGGAGAUGUUCGUCGGGGCAGCAAAGUCGUCCGUCGGGUGGAUGCUGACCUUCUUCGUCUCUCCCGCCGACUGGAAUGCGGGCUCAGAAGCUGGUUUCUUUGAGCGCAUCAGGUCGGCGGGGUCGACUGUCUUCUUAUACUCAUCGAGCUCGAGAACAGCCAUCUGCUGGUCGGCGAUUCUUGAUCCCUGCUGCAGACACUCUUCGGCUCGCUGACGAUUGCCCGUGAUGGUGAUCACGCCUUUCGGGCCUGGCAUCUUCAGCUUCAAGUAGACGUAACACGGACGGGCCAUGAAAUGAGCAUAUGCCGGGCGGCCCAGGAUUGCGUGGUAAGCACUCUGGAAGUCUACCACUUCGAAUGUCAGCUUCUCCUUGCGGAAGUUCUUGUCGGAGCCGAAAACGACGUCCAACGCGAUCUGGCCGAGUGACUUUGCCUUCCGUCCAGGGACGACUCCGUGAAACUGCAUGCUGCUCUCACUGAGUUUGGACAUCGGAAUGCCCAUCCCCUUGAGUGUGUCAGCAUACAUGAUGUUCAAGCCGCUGCCGCCAUCCAUGAGGACUUUGCGCAGUCGGACUCCUUCCACCACCGGGUCGACGACCAGAGCCUGUCUCCCCGGAGUGGGUACAUGUGCGGGAUGAUCCGACUGGUCGAAAGUGAUCGUGGUCUGAGACCAUUUCAGGAACUUGGGACUGGUUGGAUUGGCCAUGUUAACCUCUAUGUUCACCAGUUUCAGUCGACUCUUGCUUUCGAUGUCAGCAAAAAUCAUGAGGGUUGCAUGGACUUGGGGGAACGGAUCCUCCUUAUCCUCCUCAUCUUGUUCAGGAUCCUUCUCACUCGGUUGUCCCUUGCUGAACCCCUGGAUCAGGAGACGACACUGUCGAGUGGUAUGCUUCGCGUAUAUGGGGUUGCCUUCCUCGUCCAUCUUCGUGUGAACCGGACAAGGCUGGUCCAGGAUGGGAUUGUUGAACGGCUUCUUCUUGGGGGUAAACUGCGCCUUCCCUUUGCCCUUGAACUUGGCAUUGGUCAUGGCUGCAGCUUCUGCUUGCGGUGUGGGCGGAGCUUUCUGUUUCUGCUUCCGAGUGUUACCUCCGUCAACAUCGCCGACUGUCUUGUGCUUGCCGCUCCGGAUGCGGUCCUCUUCUUCGCCAUUUGCAUAGCGAGCCGCUAUCUCCAUCAUCUUGCUCAUGGAGAUGUCGCCUGUUCGAUCGAACUUUAGGUACAACUCUCUGUACCGCACGCCUGCCUUGAAGGCGCAGACUGCUUGAUGCUCGGUGACGUUCUCCACAGUGUGGUAGAGAGUUGUCCAUCGCUGGAUGAAGUCGCGCAAGGACUAAUUCGGCUUCUGGACACAGUGCUGGAGCUCCACAAGGCCUGCAGGGCGUUUGCACGUCCCUUCGAAGGUCCUGAUGAACACUCGGGCCAGAUCCGCCCAACUGUAAAUGCUCGAGGGGGCCAAGUGGUUCAGCCACGCUCGCGCCAAGCCGUCGAGCAUCAGAGGGAGGUGCUUCAUAGCGACAUGGUCGUCUCCUCCUCCGAUCUGGACUGCCACUCGGUAGUCAUCAAGCCAUGUUUCCGGCUUGGACUCUCAUGUAAACUUACUGAUUCCCGCUGCCAACCGGAAGUUGGGUGGGAUGUCAGCCGAGCGGAUGACUCGACUAAAACACUCGGGACCGGACACGAUGGCUCUGCUUCCACUCGGACGGUCCAUAUCGUGACCAUCACGGUGGGCUCGACCCCUGCCGACUCUUUGUUGGGCGAUACGUCCUCUUGCGUCGGGUCUUGGGUCGUAAGUGUCGCCGACUGAACGCCGAUCAUCAUGAUGUCGGGACCCAUAGGGCCCACCCCGCGGAGGGGUGCGUGAGCGGCGGCGACCUUCAUGAAUCAUGGAACGGCUGCCUCCCCUGUGGUGUUGAUGGGAUCCAGGGCUGUGAACCGACCGAUGCGUGAUUGCAUGGACGGAACUAUUGUAGAUCCGGUUGUGCGACUGGGAGACUGCCGAAUUCUGCUGCUGCGCCGUGUGCAAUAGGGCUCGGAUCUGCUCAAUCCCCCUCCCUGCCUCCGAAUCAGUCGGCUGGAGGGAAUCGGCUAUCUUGGCAGCCGCAGCCAAGUUGAGGAGGGGCGUGCGGAACAAUUCCACGUUGCUCCGCCGAGUGUGUCGACUGGCAGAACGGCGAGGUGGACGGUGCGCACCGGAUGCUUCACCGACCUCGCGCUCGCUUCGACCAGCUUGACGGGGAUCUUCAUGUGAGUUGGCCAUGUGUACUUCUGCUGCAGGCCCGCGACCCGCGUACUCGGAAGGAAACUCAAUCGAAACUGAGCCCGAGCGCUGGGAACGCGGGGCAACCACAACAGACUCCAUAACUGCCACUUGAGAAGACGCGAUCUGACGCGCUCGGGCAUGCUGCACCCAACGUUGGAGGCGCGGACGGUGAGACCGCUUGUUGCGGCGCAUGACGGAGGUGCAGGUCGACAACGGAGCCGAUUGUUGGAGAAGAAGAACGCCGCGGGCGCCGGCACGGAAGUGCGUGGCCCCACGACGGGGAAGCGCCUCGACGUCGAGAGGUGCCUCCCGAAGCCACGCCGAAUCGUCGACGGUGAAGCAUAGAGCGCCGAAGAAGAUCCGGUGACCCAUGCUCGAAUCUCCACCGGCCGACAUGACGAAAGGAAGUAGUCGCAAACUCGCCGGAAGUCGCUUAGACGCCUGCCCCACGGUGGGCGCCAACUAUCGUGGGUAUAAGCCUGACAGUAGAAGUGUAGGGUACGAAUGAGAUGGGCAGAGUCCUAGCUACGGCGAGGUUGUAUGAGUUCAGGCCCCUCUGCGGUGGAGGUAACAGCCCUACGUCUCAGUGCUCUCGGAGCUUGUUGUCGAGUGUGAUAUGGAAUACAAUGAUUUGCUAACCCCUUUACCAGUGGAGGAGGGUGGCUUAUAUAGAGUGCGCUGCCCUCCACAAUGGUUCUGAUUCAGGGGCGGAGUAGUGGCGAUUGAAUGCGUACGUUACAGGUAACGGACGACCUAAAUGCUAUUAAAUACACCUGGAAACGUACGACCGUUUUCCCCCAAAGGGGUCACGGUGUACCGAGUGGUAUCCAGUCGGUCAGCUAGAUACGCUCCGAAUGUUACUCUCCGACUGGACGUCAUCGAGGAUCUGCUACCGACUGGAUGAUGGGGAUUCCUUAAUUCAGUCGGAACUGACUAAGGCCCUUGUCCUUUGGAAGGGGUAGUCCUUGGGUAGGACCUAUAGGGCAGGCCUAUGACCCUAUCCUAGGACUAUAACCCCAUCAAUUCUAAUAGGAGAGUUGAUUUCCACCAUGAUCUUUUCCCUAUUUAACAAGAGGCCGCAUCGCUUUACUAAUUAAUACUUCUUUGAUUUUUAAAUAUAAGUUUUUUAAAAGAUUUUAUUAUAUACUAACAUAGGGCACCGCUAGGCAUCAGACUACUGAUGCUUUACAUCCAUGAGACUUGUCGUUGGCCAUCGGAUGAAAAGCAGGAGGUACGUCCGAUCUACUAACUUAGGCUCACAAAAGAUUAGUUGUAGUUGCUAAUUGAGUGCUUUCCUAACUGCUCCCGUAAUCCACGCGCCUGCAUGAUUGGCUCCAUCCGUUCCUUUUCUUUCUUCCUUCCUUCCUAGAACGUUGUUUUUUUGCUGGAUGCUUCCAUAAAUCACCCUAGCUUACCAAGUUUCUACACCUGUGUGAUGGAAGCAUGAAAAUAAGUUUGUUCUUUUAGGAAACAUGUCCCUAAAUUCUAGGUUAUAAACCCUGUGAAUGAUGCUUCGAUUCUAGGUGAUAAAUCUCCAAAGUACUACAUGGUUGUUUCUCUUCCAUAACACAUAUGGAAACGGAAGCAUGGGAAGAUUCCUAUCAGAAUCAGACUACUGAUUAGAUGUGUUUCACAUCAAAGUUAGAUUCAAUUACCAGUUCAGAUUUUUUUAAUUUCAAUUCAAGCUGAAGCAAAUUUGAUUCUAAUUCAUGUAAAAAAAAGUUUGCUUCCAAUUUAGUGCUUCCAUCUAUGGGACCUUCCAGGAUUGAUACUUUGUUUUCUUCACCCGAUUUAUUUUUAGAUAUAUUCUUCCAUAAACUCAAUAUUUUUCUUCAACAAUAGCCAAAGUAGUUUCGAUCUAACAGGAAAUAUGUAUCCAUUAUAAAUGUUUACUUUGUAUCCCAAUGAAGCAAGAAUUUGUUUUUGGCUACCAGAAAAUUUGCUUCCACUCAAAUUUAAAUUUGCAUCAACGGCAACAAUUAAAUUUGCUUCCAAUUAAACAUAAAAUGGUUUCCACGGUAGCAACUGGUUGUUUCCAAGCGAACAAAAGUUUGCUUCUAAAGAAAAAGGAAUCUGCUCCCAUCCACAUAAAAAUCUAAUACAAUUAGAACAUAACAAAUUAAUCUCAUGCGAGGUACAUGUCUAAGAUACUAAGAUGGCUAGGAAGCAAGGGUAUUGUCUUGGCCUGCGGCUGCAUGAUAGGCAAUGUGUAGGGGAGGGAUCGCCUAAUGAGUAGUUAGGAGAGCAACAUCCUCAAGGGCAGCCUUAAUCGCAGUCUCCACCCAUGUCUGCACCACCUCAUUCACCGCCUUCAGAUCGACACCAUCAACAUCAUGAUGAGAGGUUAAUACGGCAUUUUUGGGAAACUAGUGAUACACGGUUGGCAUUGUUCGGUGCAAAGCAUCUGCACAACAUGAAGCUACAAUUUGAUAUAUCAUGACAUACAUGAUAGGUACUGGAAGCAUUACAAAAUUGAGAUGAAGAAAAAAUUAUAUGUUGUAGGGAACAUAUUCAUAACAUGAAAGUAGGAAGCAUGGCUUACACAAAACAGUCGAUCUUUCACACCAUACAUGGGGCUUUCGUUAAAUUUGAAGGGUGCCAAAAAACACAAAAAGGUAGAAGCAUGAACUAUAGAAGCAAACUACCUAAACCAAAGAAAUAUGUGUAUCAUAAUAUGGAUGCGUGGAAUAUUACAAUGGUGAUAAAAUGACAACAACACUUAAAACGAACAUCAUGAAGCAUGGAAGCAUUCUUACUAGACAGAAGAAGCAUAUGAAGUAUAGUUUGGAUGCCCCAUAAGUAGUAAAGAUCUAAGACAACAUCUUUCAAUCUGCAUGCCACAUAACGCUUCAGCAUACACUAUGGUAUGGAAUUCUUCAUGAUUCCGGGUCAGCUGAAAACAUAAGUGAAAGCAUGUUACAACAACAAUUUAAAAAUAUUGAACUGGAAGAAAUAUAUAUAGGGCCCAGAAGCAUCUAUGUAUAGCAAUUUAGAUGCUACAGAACUAAGAAGCACAAAAAUAGUAGUUGGGAACAUAUCUAAACUUGGAUGGAACCAAUUGCUACACAUUCAGAUUUUAAUUGUCAGAACUGCAGAAGAAUCUAAUUCUAGCACAAUAUUUUGUAUCACAAAAUUACACUACAGUAAACUAAGAGCAACUAGGGGCGGAAUAUUAAGGGACCAGAGAUGUGGAUACCUAGAGGAGAAGGUAUGUUGUUGAGUGGGUGAAGGACACAACUUGGUAACUUUGUAUGCAUCACAAAUUGUGAGAUGACUUUCUGUAGGUGACUUGGGAUGGGAACGCCAAGCAUGGAGUUGGCGCCACUACGUGUGGUGAUGGAAGUUUUCCGUGUUGUGUAUUUCCAUGGGAGCCACUGCCAUGACCGCUUGGUGGAGAGUCGAGACGAUGGAGGUGCACUACUGCCGCCGUCGAGUGGAACAGGGAGUUGUCGCCGCUGCUAGGGUAAAACAUGGGGACCAACUCUUGCUUGUGAUGGGAUCUGGUUUUCGAGAAAGGCACGUUAAUUGGCAUUUAUGAGGUUGAUUUAGCUUAAUUUUAGGGGAGUUAAAAAGGAGAGACGUGAAAACGCAGGCUGCCCUAGGAUGGUUUUGUCAAUCAAUGACGAUGGAGGAGCCUGAGCGGAGGAUUCUAUCAGACUAUUGAUGGAAAGAGUUUCCCACUAACAUAUAAGGAGUAAAAAUAAUUAAUCUACACUCUAAAAUAUAUCUAUAUACAUUCAUACGAAGUCCGUAGUAAAAUUUCUUACAAAAUUUAUAUUUAAAAAUGAAGGGAGUAGUAGUUGACUCGAUUGAUUCUACCAGGAGAGUACAUUAUACUGUAGGCCCUCGUCUCGCCGAAGAAAGUCAUAGUCGGGUUCGUCCGUCGUCACAACCUUCUUCAACGGCUCCGCUUCUCGCCACCCGCACCAUCGCCCAGACCGUGCCAACAUACUCCGUCAGUCACCAUCUCCCCACUGCCCAAGUCAAAACCAGAACCCAUCUUGAUGCUGUCCGACAGCACGAUGAAACACUCAUCGACCCAACUGUUUGCCCUCCUUAGGGCCAUUUUUUCAUCGGUGAGAGGUGAGCCACCGAAAGUUUUGGGCUGGGGGCUUGUUUAUUCCCAGCCGGUCCCCCAUAGCAUGUCUUUUCCUUGCUUUUGAUUGAUACACGCCGCAUGCUGGUCUUGCUCCAUCCAUGGUCCCGUCACAUGCACAUGAGCAAAAAAGAGAAGAGAGAGGAGAGAGGAGAGAUAGAGUUUCAAUAGCCCCAUAGUCAGCCAUGUAAAAAAAGUACCGUCGGCUUCUCCAGCCCCCCCCCCCCGCCCCCCCCGACACGCUGGGUUUGGUCUGGGUCCGCCAAUACCAAUUUUAACCCAAACCUACGAAGAGGCGUGACUAGACGAUUUUUUUGGCACCGACGAUAAAAAAUGGCAUGAAGGCGUAUUGAAGACACGGAUGGAGAUGCUCUCCAUCGUGAUAUUCACCUCCUAUACAUUCUAUACACAUCCAACACCUCAUGAUGCCUUCACCGGCCAACUUGCCGGACGUUUCAACAACUGAGAAAGUGAGAAGUCAGCAUGGAACUAGACACGCCUCCUCCUCCAGCUUCAUCUGCCGAUGGCCUUCGACGCGCUCUGCCCGCAGGUGCUACGACUCCCAAUGCAGGAGGUAGGCUUCCUCCUGCUCCGAUGUUGCGCCUAACCAGAUGGGCAGCGCGCUGACCCACUCGCAGAGGCAGCCGUUCCACUGGUACACCUUCCGCUGCAGCUCCAUCGACUCGGUCUGCGACGGAGGUGGCACGACGCAGUCGCUGGCGGCGAACAACGCGAUGGCCUCCGUGAGCCGCUCCUGGUACGCCGCCUCCUCCUCGUCAGCCUCACGCUGCUCUUCCUCCUCGCACUCGCGGAGAACAGCUGCCAGCGCCGCCUGGUAGGCGGCCUCAGCCUCCUGGUCCUCCUCGCUAAGGACGGGCGGGGGCGGCGGAGGGCCUCCUGCCUUCACGUCGCGCACGCCAUGCCAGCGCUGCUCCUCUUGCUCGACCACGAACCAGAGCUCCUAGUGGGGAAAGUCGGCCACGUGGGCAGGAUUGAGCCGUUGCUCCGGCGUCAGCAAACACCGACAGCGACUCACCUCCUCUGCGUGCAACCGCGCCGACCGUGGCACGGCCGACACCGGGAUCCUCUCCAGAUCCAGAUGCCAGUGGUGCGGGAGGGUGACAUCGGGGUACGACAGCGGGACGCAGUGCUCCCAGUGCCACCGUGCUUGGUGCAUCGGGACGCUGACACGCUGGCGAGUCCGGCGGGGAGAUCGCGCGGGGGUAGACGGGGGCCUUGCCCUUGUUUUGGAAGGAGCCGGCCAUGGCCCGCGAUCCUAGGGUUUGGUCGCCGACGAGGUGGCGAGAUGGGGAUGGGUGGGUUCUGGAAGCAGAUGAGGUCGAACCCACCGUACGCUCGGAUUAAAAAAGGUCGACUGCGGCCGUUGACGCAUGGGCCCGUGAAGGGCGGGUGUCAUAAAUUACGUUACCGCGUGUGGUUGGGGCGGACACCGAGAGGACGCGCGCGUCCGUUUCGCGUCCGUGCCGACGCAUUUCAAUCUCAAAUUUAGUACGGAAAUGAAUCAUCGUGGACGCGAAGGGAUGCGUUUUGACAAUGGAUCGGCGCGUUGGGCCAUCAGUUUUGUCCACGCGGCCGCAUACAAACGGUGGCGAAUGAAAUGGGUCACACCGUUGGAGCUGCUCUUAGCAUCUACCACUCGGUGAACCAAACACCACAUAUUUCUUCUGGUACAAUUACAUGUAAACAUACGUGCACAACCAACACAUGCGCAAUCAAACAUCACAAAAAAAAAUCUCACUUCAUAAUUUCAUAUAUUUUAUUAUUAAAAUAAAUGUCUCAACUUCAUAUUAAUUUUAGUAUAAAGUUGUACUAAUCUUAAGACGUUUAUAGGAUGAAGGGAGUAUAACUUUGGGAAGAAUACAAAAUUCAAGUUCUUAGCAACCUUCCAGCUAGUAGAGUUUGAUGCGCCGUUAUGCAAUGUAAACGUGCCCUUCUAUCUUACAUCUACGUGCAUCAAGCGAACCUGCAGAACUUGCACAUGCACGCGAUUGGAUAGCAUUUGGCCACCUGGGAGCACCUCCCUUGACAAAGAGGUUCCUCCUUGUUCUCAAUGCGGCAUGCAUCGUCACAGUUGGUGGAAUUGCAUGGAUCAUGUGUCCCAACAUAUCUUCCAAAACAAGAUUCUCCGGGUCUAGCAUCUGCAAAAAUAUCAUUUUGCGAAUACGAGUAUUAAUAGAGAAUCACACGUCCGAUCAGUUGGCGAAGCAUGUGGUACUAUAGGAACAAACGAGUACCUGAUGAUGAUGAUAUCAUGAGCAAGAUUAGAGUCAUGCACAUCAGGGCGGUCCUCAUCUUGGCUAACGGCGGCGUUGAUGAUGGGAAUUGAGGAUGUUUUGUUUGACUUGUAGCAGAAAGAAUAAUAUGGCUACCAUUUUAUAUAGAGGAAGGGAUUUCAAUGAUAAUUUACAUAUUCUCUAUUAAUUGCUGGAAACGCUAUCGCUUUAAUAAUUAGUAGUAUUUGAUUUGAUAUGAUUCUAAUAUAGGAGAGUUGAUUUCCAGCAUGAUCUUUUCCCUAUUUAACAAGAGACCGCAUCGCUUUACUAAUUAAUACUUCUUCGAUUUUUAAAUAUAUGUUUUUCAAAAGAUUUCAUUACAUACUAACAUAUAAGGAGUAAAAUGAGUUAAUCUACACUCGAAAAUAUGUCUGUAUACAUCCAUAUGAAGUUCGUAGUAAAUAUUUUUACAAAAUUUAUAUUUAAAAAUAAAGGGAGUUGUAGUUGACUCGAUUGAUUCUACUAGUGGAGUACAUUAUACUGUAGGCGCUCGUCUCGCCGAAGAAAGUCAUAGUCGGGUUCGUCCGUCGUCACGACCUUCUUCGACGGCUCCGCUUCUCGCCACCCUCACCAUCGCCCAGACCGCGCCAACAUACUCCGUCAGUCACCAUUUCCCCACUGCCCAAGUCAAAACCAGAACCCAUCUUGAUGCUGUCCAACAGCACGAUGAAACACUCAUCGACCCGGCCGUUUGCCCUCCUCAGGGCCAUUUUUUUCAUCGGUGAGAGGUGAGCGAGCGGAAGUUUUGGGCUGGGGGCUUGUUUAUUCCCAGCCGGUCCCCCAUGGCAUGUCUUUUCCUUGCUUCUGAUUGAUACACAUCGCAUGCUGGUCUUGCUCCAUCCGUGGUCCCGCCACAUGCACAUGAGAAAAAAAAGAAGAGGGAGGAGAGAGGAGAGAGGAGAGAGAGAGGUUCAAUAGCCCCAUAGUCAGCCAUGCAAAAAAAAAAGUACUGUCGGCUUCACCAGCCCCCCCUCCCCCGACAUGCUGGGUUCGGUCUGGGUCCGCCAAUGCAAUUUUAACCCAAACCUAUGAAAAGGCAUGACUGAACGUUUUUUUUAGCACCGACGAUAAAAAAUGGCGUGAAGGCGUGUUGAAGACACGGGUGGAGAUACUCUCCAUCGUGAUAUUCACCCUCCUAUACAUUCUACACACAUCGAACACCUCGUGAUGCCUUCACCGGCCAACUUAAAGGACGUUUCAAGAACUGAGAAAGUGAGAAGUCAGCGUGGAAUUGGACACGGAGGAGGAGGAGGAUGGUAGAGAAGGCAUGCCGAACCGAGAUGGCUAUACUUAUCAUUUCAUGUAUUGCCUCGUUGUCACGUCUGUUAGAACUAAGUAUGCAUAUACAACGCACGUUUUCAUCCAUGCACGUCCGAUUGUAAAUAGAAUAUUAAAGAGCAACUCCAACGUGGAUAUCCAUGUCUGUUUUUGUAAUUGGAUCGACACUUGCGUCCAAUAAGGCCAUGAUCCAUUUUUAAACGACGGAAAAAAACAUAAUAAAUAUUUUGAAAAUAUAAAAACGUUAUUAAAAAUUAAUGCCGACUUUAAAGUCCGGUUAUAGUCCCACAAGUCCACAUUGCAAAAAUAGAAAAUUUAAUUAAGCUAAAAACAAGGAGGCGCGUUGCCCUAGGCGUCCUUGUUGUCAUCGUCGUUGGGGCCGGUGAGGUCGACGAGCGUCGGUGUCGGACCAUCCCAAGGGAAGGCCGUCUCCCAGGCGGUGGCGAUGCCGUUGGCUGGUGGCUGCAUUGGCGCUGGCUUGGCCCUCAUCCUCAGCUUCGGCCUCGUGCUCUAGCUCAUCGAGCUGCCGGGCCUCUGCGUGCUCCUCCGCGAGCCGCCGCUGCCGCCAGUGCUCUAGGUAGGCUGCCUCCUGCUUCGGGGUCGCACCCAACCAGGCGGGUGGUGCGCUGACCCACUCGUGCACCACCUCGUCCCAGACAUACUGCUCGGGCUCCACGCCGGCGCUGCUCCUCGUGCUCCCACGCAAAUCAGGCCUCCCAUUCGGGAGAGUCUGCAGCGUACAUGGGGUUACACCGUUGCUCUUGUGUCAGCUGUUGCCGUUGGCGCCUCACCUCCUCCGCAUGCGCUCGCGCCGACCACGGCACCGCUGGCACUCGGAUCCUCUCCGGACCCAAAUGCCACUUGCGCGGCAACGUGAUGUCGGGAUAGGGGAAGGGGAUGCGGUGCUCCCGGUGCCACCUCACCUGGUGCAGUAGUACGUUGAUCCGCUACUGAGGCGGACAGGAAAACGUCUACAAGGGGAGUGAACGGACAAGGACGGCGAGGGACUUGUCCUUGUCUUUGCCAGAGCUCGAGCCGGAGAAGAAACCCAUGGUGGUGGCUAGGUUUUGUCACCGGGGAAGCAGCGGGUGGCUAGAUGGAGACGACUUGUGAAAGAGGAUGAGCCCCCCUCUGACAGCUCGGAUUAAAAUAGGACGCCCGGGGUCAUUGGCGCGUGGACCCGCGGUGGGCAGUCGUCGUUAAUAAAGACGCCGCUGGUUAUUGACCGGGUGCCACGUGUAGACGGGCGCGGACAUGAGAGGGCACGCGUCGCCUCCGCUUCGCGUCUAUGCUGACGCAUUUCAACCCUAAAUUUGGGUCUGAAAUGGGUCCGCGCGGACGGGGAACGGACACGUUUUGAAAAUGAAUCGGCGCGUUGGGUCUCCAUUUUUAUCGGCGGCGACCCAAACGAACUGUGGCGAACGAAAUGGGUCGUCCGAUUGGAGUUUCUCUAAUAACACCAAAUAUGUAUUUUCUGCCCCAAACAAUGGUUUUUAAUUUAUUCACCAUCAAAUUUAAUUAUAUAACCAUAAAUAUGGAUGCAAUAAAAAUAAUUACAUAACCAAUGUGUUUUGAUUCGUUAAUAUAGUAAGGCUAUGUACAACGUAAGAUGCUUAGAGAGGUGCUUAUGAAAAUGAAACACGUUUUUAAACAACGAUGCUUACUUGUAUAACACAUAUGGUUAUGCACGUUUACUUUGUUUUUCUUCUUUUUCCUUUCUUUUCGUGUAAUAUACUAUAACAUUAAUCUUUCUAAAAUUGAAGAACCCACAUUUAAUUGAUGUCUCCAAUUGACAUUGUGACACCGAUUUUGAUUCAGUCAACAAUUUAACAAAACUCUUCUAUUUAAUUAUUUUAUUUAUACCUCUAUAACACUAUACUUCUUAUUUUCAAAGAGUCACAUUCAACUGUGGUCUUCAAGAUUCCAAAUUAAAUUGGGUCAUCCGAUUUUGACCACCUCAAUAAUUUCUUAAAACUCUAUCUGUCAGUUCUUUAGACAAAUACAUUAUGCUUUUUAAUGGAUUUGAUUUACGAUUUUGAUUGAACUAACAGUUUUUCAAAUCAAUCAACAUGAACGGUCUAUAAAAACAUAUACGUAGAAAUUUUCCCACAUAUAUAAGGUUGGUUAGCAUAUACUAUAAAUCACACCACGAAAUGCCCAUCAAAUUAUCAAAUUGUAAAUAAAAAUAAAACACACCAUGUCAUCUCUCCCACACAUCAAACGAAAUAUUCUAUUGGUGUUAAAAUAUAAGGGGUAUUAGUUAUUUGAAAAGUCAAAUUCUUCAUCUUUAACCAAGUUAAGAGCAAAUAUAUCGACAUUCACAAUAUUAAAUAAAAAAAUAUGAUAAUUCAUUUAGCAAUGAAUUUAAUCACAACAAUUUAGUAUUAUGGAUUUUGAUAUGUUUAUCUAUAAGUUUAAUCAAAUUUAAAAGGUUUCACCAUUUAAAAAAAUAAUACACAUUAUAUUUUAAAAUAAAAUGGUUAGGUUUUAUAAUCUAACGGUGAAACAAAGCACUCCCGGUCCUUCUAGUCAUUUGUAAUCCUGACACAAUAAAAAUUAUAGCGGGGCCAUGCCUUGCUGUUAAGGGUAAAAAAUACACAAUGUCAAUCGAUUGAUUGGUGUAAUCAGUCAAGUUUGAAACUAAUGGUACAUAGGAUCUUGGUCGUUGGUUCUUUUGGAUGAACUAGUAUCUGUAGUGGCGUAUCUGUUUUGGCCUGCUAGUGGUGCACCUGUUUUGGCUACUAAUGACGCACUACAGGUGCGCCACUAGCAUCAUGUCAUUAGAAUUUUUUACUAAUGACGCAUCAGGCAGUGCGCCAUUAGUAUCUGAUAUACUAAUGACGCACCAGGCAGUGCGCCAUUAGUAUAGCCCAUGGUGCUCCAUUAGUAUGCCUCCAAGGGGGGCAUAUUUACCCAUGUGCUCUGGCUUACUAAUGACGCACUAGUUGACGAUGCGCCACUAGUGUGGUUUUUGCAGUGCGCCACUAAAGUGCUGAGUGAUGCACCACUAGUAUGAAAUAUUUGCUGAGAGCAUAAAAUCUUUGUUGAGAGCCCCAUGACAUCAAAGAUUCUGGCGUAUAUAUGUUUUGUUUCAAAACCAUAAAUUCAACAGCACAUAACAUAUAUAUCAAAUAUAUUGUCGGAGGAAUAAUCCCCAGGUACCCCAAAGACGCAGAGUCGAGCGGGGUGCCUGCCCGCUCCGGCCGGCUCCUCUGUCCAGCCGGCUACGCCAGCCCGACGACUAGUCGUAGUCAACUACGACAUCCUCUGAGGCGUCGUACUGCUUCAUCUACAAUGUAACUUGUCCCCUAGGCGCUGGUUUAUAAAGUGCCCCAGGGGACAAGCAUAGCUUAGGUCCCAAGCUGCAUAUAGCUUGGCAUGUAAGCUACCCAUGGUAGCUUACAUACCAAGCUGCACAUCCAUACAAAAGGCCUUAGGCUGCCCUCUCACUCUCUCAGGCUCUCACUCCCCCACAUACACACACUCAGACAUGAGGCCAGGAAGGAGGCACUCAGCUCUCUUCCUCUUCUAAUACAGCUCUAGGAGCAACCUUGUACUACCAAGAUACACCAUAUACACAAAUGCAGGAGUAGGGGUAUUAUCUCUCCAGAGAGCCCCGAACCUGGGUAAACCACCGGGUACUAUUACCCUAUCCCGUCCCGGAUCCUCCACGACAGUUUUUCCCUCACCUCGAUUAGCCAUCCCCUGGCAUAUGCCGUCAGGGUACCCCCUAUAUAGAAACGACGACAUAUAUAAUACAUAAUAUGUGCCCAAUAGUUUUACUUAUCCACAACACAUAACAUAUAUGCAAAGUUGCAUAACAAAUUUCAUGAUCCAUAUAUCAAAAUUCCAUAGCAUCCAUACAUCCAAAAUUCCAUAGCAUCCAUAUAUACAUAUAGUUCCAUAACAUCCAUACAUACAUAGCUCCAUAGCAAAUAUAAUACACAACGAUACUUUGCGGGCAUUAGUAAGUAAUAUUUGGCACUAAAACAAAUGCCUUCAUGUCCAUAUCGUAGUCCAAAGAGCAUCCGCGUGGCAACCUACAAGAUGAAAUCAUCGACAUGUCAAAUUUAACACUCUAAAUCAUGAAGAUCUUCAAGAAUGGUCUCUAAUUAUAAAUUUGAUCUUCAAAUGGGUCAAAUGAUCCUCUCCNNNNNNNNNNNNNNNNNNNNNNNNNNNNNNNNNNNNNNNNNNNNNNNNNNNNNNNNNNNNNNNNNNNNNNNNNNNNNNNNNNNNNNNNNNNNNNNNNNNNACGCGCGCAGACAAAAUAGGGGUCGGUGCGGUGGGAGUUGACCUAAGGUUUGGGGAAUUUUGGGGUUGUGCAAACGCUAGAGAGGAACAAGAAGGAUAUUGGCUAGAAAAUAACUAAAAGUGGGGGUCCAUUCUGCACAGAAGCAUGUAGUUAUCUGUACAAUUCUCUCCACAAAGAUCUGUGCCAUCCAAUUGCAAUCCGAUGGCUCAUAUUGAUUUUUUCUAUUUUCCAUCAGAGGCCGUUUUUCUAUGCCAGUCGCUCCCCGCCCAAAGUGGCAAAAUCCUCACCCUGCAACUUUCCCCUCCUCGUUCUCUUCCUCCCGCAGCUCUCUGUUCACAAGUUCCUCCUGCACUCUUGCUUCUUCACCACGAAUCAUGUUCUUGAGCACGAGAGCCAUGUCUCCUGCAUUGCUCAUGUUCGCCCUGGCUUGUCUUCUUGGUUCAUUAGGUCAACAACAUUCUUCUCUCUAGCUGUCUUUUUUAGCUCUGCCGUAAACCUAGCNNNNNNNNNNNNNNNNNNNNNNNNNNNNNNNNNNNNNNNNNNNNNNNNNNNNNNNNNNNNNNNNNNNNNNNNNNNNNNNNNNNNNNNNNNNNNNNNNNNNUCAUACAUGCUUUUGCUUGGUCGAGGAGCCGCAUGAUAGUUGGGUUGUGCCCUUAUUAUUUGCUACAUGACGCGCUAGUAUCAUUAUAUAUCCUGCUACACUGACAGAGGCAUACAUUUGCAUACAUCAUGAUAGUUAUCAUUGUUCUUUAUGUUGAGUACUUCCUAUAAAGUGUGAAGAUUUUUCUAGCUACUUUUGUAAAAAAAUAGAGUGUUGCCCUUAAGUGAGGAAAAGAUCCCAAAGAGGACAAAAUGAAAAGAUACCAAAGAGGACAAAUGAGAGAUAAAARRAAGAGCCAAAGAGACCACAAAAAGAAAAAGAAGGGGCAACACUACUAUUCCUUUUGUAAGAUCCACACUCGUACUCCAUUGUUAUAUUUGUACUACAUAGAGAUUAUCAUUCAUGCAUAACUAUGUGGGGACCUUUACACUGUAGAACUUGGUUUGCAUAUUCCAAUGAUGAGCCUCCUCAAAUGAGCUCUAGGUCUUCAUGAGAAAACAAGUUGGAUGCACCCCCACUAGUUCCAUUGGAGAGCUUAUCAUAGCUCAUAUGUGCAUCCGUUGCAUGCCAAUCCCUACUCCUCACAUCAUAUCUAUCAUUUGAUUUCUCUCACCUAUGAUUGUCCUCAUUGAUGUGAGCCUUUCNNNNNNNNNNNNNNNNNNNNNNNNNNNNNNNNNNNNNNNNNNNNNNNNNNNNNNNNNNNNNNNNNNNNNNNNNNNNNNNNNNNNNNNNNNNNNNNNNNNNAAGUGACCUGUGACGAAGAUGAUGAGAUGCAAAAAUAAUAAUAUAAAAAAAUGGCAAGUGAGAGCUUAGGUAGCCCGCCACAUGUCCUCACAUGCCCGGUUGGUCGCGAAAGCAAGGCGUGAUUUGGCCUCGCGGCCAGAGCCAGAGCCAGAGCCAGAGCGUGGUUCGAAAGUGCAGAGGCAGCGUCACUGACGCCGACGCCCAAACGAAAUGGCCGCAGUAAAAGACCAAAAUAUCGUACUCCUCCUCCAACUCGCUAUACCUCGGCAGGCAAAAAUAGCCCAUGGUUCGAGCACUCACUAGUACGAGUAAUAAGCAAAGCGAAAGGAAAGGAAAAAGGGAGAAGCCUCCCCGUGAAAAUCCACCCGCAUACUUGGCACCCACCACGGGCACAAAACAAGGGAUAAAUCCAAGGUGGGGGACGAGGUGGUGGAGAGAGAGGGAGAAAAAAAACCCUACUUAACCGACAGUCUCGCCGGCGGGAGGCAGAAGCGCGGCGCGUCCAGUCGUCCAGGCGACGCCGGCGGCCGUCUCGCGCGCCCCGCGGGUGGCUGCGGCGGGGGCCAGGGAGCUGAGGGUCGUGGGGGCGGAGUCAGAUGCGCUCGGAAUGGGGAAGCCCGUCGAUGUCGAGCUCGGCGGCGCGGGAGGCCUCGCGAUCGCCGGCGGCGGAGGAGGAGGAGGAGGGUGGGGCUUCGCCGGCGCGGUCGGCCGCGCCGUCUCGUUCCGGUGCGUCUUCGUGCUCGCGCUCGCCGUCGGGGUCCUCGUCCCGGCGCUGUCCUCCUCCUGCCAUCCCGCCCCGAGGGCUACCUCUCCAGCGACCCCGACGUCCUCGCCGGUGAGCUCUCCG
rnacentral:lncRNA from 1 species